GACGAACGCUGGCGGCGUGCCUAAUACAUGCAAGUCGAGCGAUGAAGAUUGGUGCUUGCACCAAUUUGAAGAGCAGCGAACGGGUGAGUAACGCGUGGGGAAUCUGCCUUUGAGCGGGGGACAACAUUUGGAAACGAAUGCUAAUACCGCAUAAUAACUUUAAACAUAAGUUUUAAGUUUGAAAGAUGCAAUUGCAUCACUCAAAGAUGAUCCCGCGUUGUAUUAGCUAGUUGGUGAGGUAAAGGCUCACCAAGGCGAGGAUACAUAGCCGACCUGAGAGGGUGAUCGGCCACAUUGGGACUGGGACACGGCCCGAACUCCUACGGGAGGCAGCAGUAGGGGAUCUUCGGCGAUGGACGAAAGUCUGACCGAGCAACGCCGCGUGCGUGAAGAAGGUUUUCGGGUCGUAAAACUCUGUUGGUAGAGAAGAACGUUGGUGAGAGUGGAAAGCUCAUCAAGUGACGGUAACUACCCAGAAAGGGACGGCUAACUACGUG
rnacentral:rRNA from 1 species